rnacentral:lncRNA from 1 species
UUUUCUGGGUGGAAAUUUAAAAUGGCUGAUCUGAGAUGAUCAAAUUACGUGGAGUCUUCCUGCCAUUAGAGGACAACUCUUUUCUUGUAAGUCUAACGUUGAGAGUAGAGAUGGGGAUUGGAUCUGGGCACUCCCCCAUCACUUCUUCUUUUCUUCCUAAAGGUACAUCCAUUUCCAAUUCUAUAAGUUUUUAAACAUUUGUUGAAGCAUUUUCCUAUUGCUUUCAAUCUUUCAUUCUUGGUGUUGCUGGUUUUUUCAUCAAUCCAAUUUAGAAUGACUUGAUUAAUUAAAUCACGUUUAAGACAUGAUAUCAGCAUAUCACUUCACUUAAUUGUAGUAAUUUGUAAUCAUCGGGUGUAUUAUAAAAAACUGUGAUUGAUAAGUCUUAAAGUAAAUGCCUUGUGUGAAGACUAUCCAUUGUUUUCACAUACAGCCACAUCACUGAUCGUAAUGGCUCGGUAGUCAUCACCAAACCUACAGUUCCUCUCAGCAAUCUUUCCUUCUCCUAACAAAGGAGAGAAGAAGACAUGGUUAGAUAUAAAAUUUACAUAAUAAUAAAAAAAUAAUAGCUGAAAAUUUUGAAAAGAAGACAGAAAUAUUAAAAAAAAAAAGAAAGCUUCCUUUUUUUGUUUCCCAGGAUAGGGAAUUAUCAGGUACUUAUAUUUCUAUUAACAUUGAAACAGAUCUUCUUAAUCAUUUUAAUAACUUGAUUUUUAAAGCUGCCUUUCUAUAAUUCAUGCUCUUGGGUAUUUAGGAACUGAUGUUUCCUCAAAGAAAACAAAAGUUAAAGGACCCACAAUAUGUACCCUCUGGCUCCCAAGCUUAAAACAGAGCAAUUUGAAGGAAGUUGUAUAGACUGGCAUGCAUAAUUUUUUUAAUAAGCUUAUACUACAAAGCUUCAACCAAAAAAAAAAAAAAAGAAAGUGUAAAUUGUAAAGAAUUAAAAGUAAACAUAUUCAUUACCAUUAUAAGCCAUCUCAACAUCCUUUAGAAACUUAAUUUUGAUUUUCUUGAGUAUGGCCACAACAGCCUUCAUAUUUUUCCUUUCUUCAGGCAACUUAGUUGUACAGUCUAGAGCUAAUCCCAUGAUAGAUGAUAAAGCGUUCACUUUAUCUAUGAAAAGUUCCUCCUCUCUUAACAAAUUGGCAUCCAAAACCUCAUCAAUUGUUCCAUUGGAAAGUGAAUUUUUCACCCAAUCCUUCAAACUCAUUUCAACGGAAAAAAUUUCUUCGGUAGGUUUCUUUCUUGUGAAAGUUUCCAUCAAUAAAAUACCAUAACUAUAGACAUCACCUUUUAGAGAAACAAUUCCAGUCGAUCCAUAUUCUGUAUGUAAAACAUGAUCAAAUGUUUUAGUUAAUGUAACAUCAUUAAUCAUCAAUGGAAAACUAAAAGAUUGAAGCAACUGUAUAUACAGAAACAUAAAUAUGAAUAAGAAGCAAAAAAUACCUGGUGCCAUAUACCCAAUAGUAGCAAGUGUCUUAGUUUGUCUUAUAGAAUCUUCUUCUCCCAAGAGUUUGGCAAGGCCAAAAUCUCCAACAUGUGCAACCAUGUCAUUAUCUAGCAGGAUAUUGCUUGGCUUUAAGUCACAAUGGAUCACAGGUACUGAGCAGCCAAAAUGGAGAUAUUCUAGUGCUGAUGCAACAUCAAUCAUUAUGUCAAUUCUUUGUAGGAGAUUGAGAUAAUAGUUAUAGGAAUAUAACCAUUUCUCAAGGUUGCCGUUAGGCAUGAACUCAAACAUUAAGGCUCUGAAGUCAACAUUAGAGCAACUACUAAAGACCUUGACAAGAUUCCGAUGAAAAAUAUUGCGCAUUGCUUCACAUUCAACAUCAAAACUCUUGAAGCCGUCCUCUGAGUGCAUAUUGAACACUUUUAUUGCGACAUUCAUCCCAUCUGAAAGUGUUCCUCUAUACACAGACCCAAAACCCCCUGAACCAAGCAAGUUGCAUUCAUCAAAUCCAUUAGUUGCUUGUAAAAGUUCACUGUAGGAAAUUCUUCUCCAUUUUUCCAGAGGCAAUAAAUCUUCGUUAACAGGCAGAUUUAUACUCUUUUUUUGGCAUCUUUUAAGGAGAAUAAAGAAGAUUGCUAUCAGUAUUAAUGAAGCAACUACUGGUAAAACAUAUUUCAAAACAUGCCAAGGAGUCAUCUUCGAUUGUCUACUUUUACAAGGUGGAACUUGUAGUGCCGGUGAACCGCAAAGUCCACAGUUAUUCAUAAAUGAUUUAGCUGAGAAGUUUCUAAAGGGUCCUCUACUGGGGAUUUCUCCUUCUAGUCUAUUGAAGGACACAUUAAAAUGAUUGAGAGACGAAAGUCUCUCCAAAGAUUUGGGAAUGACUCCAGAGAGAUUGUUGUUGGAUAAAUCCAAGGAUUCCAAACUUAUCAAAUCACCAAAUGAUUCAGGAAUAUAACCAUCAAAUCUAUUAUUGGAUAAGUCUAGAGAAAUCAGAUCCUGGAGUUCUCCAAUUGAACUCAAGAUUUCACCCGAUAACAGAUUCCUUGACAAAUUCAAAUGUGUCAAUACCUUCAGUUUCUCAAUGCCCAGUUGAAGGGAACCAUUCAAAUAAUUUGAGGACAAGUCUACCUCUAAGAUAUCAUUAAGGCUCCACAAGGAUAAGGGUAUUGUUGAAUUCAAUUUGUUGGAGUCUAAGUAAAGAUACCUCAGAGAAGUCAAAUUCGCCAAACAAGUUGGUAUAGGACCAUGGAGCAUGUUGCCACCUAAUGAUAGGUUAUAUAAUCUCUCUAAACCGCAGACACUUGGUGGGAUAGACCCUUGUAAUUGAUUACCAUGAAGAAGCAAACCCUG